CCGAGGAGGGGCGGCGGCCGCCGGAUGAUUUCAUCCGGAGGAAAGUCCGGGCUCCAUAGGGCAGGGUGCUGGCUAAUGGCCAGCGGGGGCGACCCCAGGGAAAGUGCCACAGAAACGAUAGCGCCCGGCAGGUCCGGGCAAGCGUGAAAUGGUGCGGCAAGAGCGCACCGGGACCGCGGCGACGCGGACCGCAGGGUAAACCCCACCCGGAGCAAGACCGAAUAGGGAUGCGUCUCCCCCAUGGGGAGUAAGGACGGCCCGUCCGAGCAUUCGGGUUACGGUCGCUGGAGACCGUCGGCAACGACGGCCCUAGAAGAAUGGUCGCCCGCGCUUCGCGCGAACAGAACCCGGCUUACGACCUCCUCGGCCUU
rnacentral:RNase_P_RNA from 1 species